CCGCGGAUGCCGAAAGGUCGAGGCCCCGGCGGGGAAAGGGAGCCCCGCUCUGGCGGCCUUGGGGGCUGGAGCCAAGCGCCACCUCAGAACAGACACAGCAUAAACUGAUUUUCCUCCGUGUUUGUGCUACAUGGGUAUUUCAGUGAUUCCCGCUCAAAGUGGUGCGGCCGAGGGGAGCGUUGAGUGACUUAGGCCUGAGGAAAGUCAGGCAGUAUUUCGUGCCUGACCGCAGGCGAUCAGCGCUGCCUGGCCCCCCCAGUCCCGCGGGGCUUCGGUGGCGCUCCGCCGGGGCGCAGGUCCCCGCGGCCCUGUCUGGGGGCGGACGUCCCUCACCCUCCGGCGCCUCUCGGCUGGCACCUCGCUCUUGCGGUUGGGUGACUGGAUGGAGCCCGUCUCGUCAGCAUUUCGCAUAGGCAGAAGUUACAGAUAGAUGGAGAUUUACACGUGUAUAUGCAGCUAUGCUUUGCUUUUUAAAAGACAUUGGGAGAUCCAGCUUCUUAGUUAACUUUUCUAAAAAAAGAAAAUCAUUUAUUUUCAGCUGGACUGCUUGGACCACUGAAUCUUCACAUGGGUACGUGCUGGCAGGAUCAGGCCACGGACAUCUGUGGGAGAUACCGGUAGGAUGUUAUUGAGACAGUGUGGACUAUCCCUGCAACAUCACUCAAGUAAGAACUGAAAAGGAGAUAGUCUGUACUGUAAGGAAUAUAUUUGAAAGGAGGAUGAAGGUGAAGUGUUGGUUACACUAAUUCCAGGAGAACACUAUUCUUUCUCCUCCUGGAUCCAAGGAAGAAGAGUUAUCCAUAACUUGAGCCUCUAAUGAAUGCACUGCAUAGCCCUCUCAUAGCCUGCACUACCACACUCAACUGGAACAGUCUGACGUGCUCAGCUAUGUGUGAUGACAGUAUGAAUGCCAGCCUUCCGUGCGGUCUGCUGAUUACAGAGUUUAGAAGUCCAAUCAUUAAUAAAUAAGCACGAAUAUAUUAUUUUCUUCUUAUAAAAGAAGGGGAAAAAAAGGGGAGAAAUGCAAUAUAUUACUUGUUCAAAGUAUAUGCUAUUAAAUUUGACUUCUAAGUUUCCAUAAUAAUUCUGGAAAUUGUUUGUCCCCCACUAUACUUUUCUUACAUAUACUGAAUUUGCUUCAUAUAGCCUUCUGAGUUGGAAAAAGAAUACCCACUAAAUUAAGUGAGAUAUUGAAGGGGAAAAUACAUCAUUUCUUUUGUCUACCAGGAGAUGUCAGUGUUCACUUCUGCCCAAAGAAAGUAAUAGAAGGUUACACAAAGCUGCAAAUUUUCUUAGUAAAAGAAGAUAAUACAUGUCACAUUAUUCAGUAAAUAAAAACAUUCAAUUUCACUGCAGGAAAAUAAUUGUAUUCCCAUAGGGUUUAUUGCUUCCAUUUUAAGAGAUAAAGAAUUUGGAAAGUUCAUUAGUCAAAUGUUGUGUAUGCAGAGUAUUUACAUUUGUCUCAUAAGCAGAACUCAAUUUUUCAAUUUCUGCUUGCCAAAAUUCCCAUUGGGAAAGCUCUGGGAUACAAUAAUUAGGAACUCUACUGAGUUUUUGUUUUAGUUUUUACUGGCAGGUAAAGUAGACAUCAGUAAGGUAGCUGAAAAAAUAUAAAAUACCAAGUUAUUCUAUUCCAUGAACUUCCUGUAGCACUAGGGAUCCAUUAUAACAAAUGGUAUACAACCAGCACAGCAAAGAUCAAUACGUUUAAUUGUAGUCAAGAAUAUAAAGAUCCUAUAUUAUCAAUUUGUUGGGAAAUAUAUAAAUCUUAAUGUAAUUUUCCUACUUACAAAUUUUGACAAAUCAGAUAGGCAGAGAGAUAUUAAUUAAAGUAUUUGUAACAAGUGGAUCUGUAGGAUCUGAUUCAGCAAAAUGUGUAAGUUCAUGUCUACUCAGGUCCAGGCUUAAGAAUGAUAAAAAUCUACUGGGUCCAACUUAGCAGGAUCAAACUUUCCUGUACUGAGCAGUAGCUCUGCAAUAAACAUACAGUACACAGUGUCUUUCUGCUUGAAGUGUUCCAGAGGACUUUACCAGUGAUGCCAAAACAUCAGUCCAUGUCUGAAAGACAGUUACUUCAGAAACCAUGCAAGUGCAGACGCCUUGCUGAUUAGUGGAAUCAAGCAUCUCUUAUUUAGGUGGUAUUACUGCAUUGGCAAAAUGAAUUGAAUUCAAUUACCUAGAAUACCAUAUUCUUAAAUGAGAGAAUAAAUGAUCUUUCAUCAGUAGCUGAUCUUGGCACUUGCUUUUAUAUACAUUUCAAGUCAAAGGCAAUACUUGUGGAGGCACAGAACUACUUAAAACCAUGUCAGGGAACUGGCUUACUGUCAACUUGGAGGGAAGAGUCAUUCUCACUGACAUUCAUCACAUUUUCCCAAUUCCCUCCUAAGAGAAUGCCAUGCAAGUGCUGAUAUGGCACGGUUGGCUUGGAGCUAUCAGAUGGGUCAGCAUCACUUGGCAAAUGGUGUUGUGUUACAACUGUGACUGCUGUGAGCCUUUACGCUUAUGAGGUAAUCAAAGUGAAUCCCUUAUGGAUCUCUAUUCACUACCUCUACAUUCAUUACAUUAAUGAGCAAACCUGAAAUGACAGAAAGAAGAGGAGCUAGGGUAGGAUGAGUGGAUUGGGGAAGUUGUAUACC